CCAUGCCGUGAAUGAGGCUUGAAGCUAGUGUUAAGAAUGAGAGAGUUAAAUCAACGUAACGCCUAUUGGGAUUAAAGCGUUGAUAAAUACCGAGCACGAUCUCGCAGCACUACGAUCUAGGAGCAAUGGAGAGGUUUCAUGUGCGCCGGCGCAUUGCUUACAGAAAGGUAAGCGCCAGGCAUCUUUUCAUGCAUACACGCCGUCCCUCUUGCUUUUGUCUCUGUCUCUAUGAAGGAAAGCGGCUUAUAAUGGAGGUCGUUACACGUUUAUACGAUCCUUCGCAAAUAUUUCUUAUUUAUUCAGCGAAUGAAUCGAAAGGACUUUAUUAAACGUGAUAUCAAAGUUAUCAAAGGGAAUUGAAUUUGGCAAGUUGCCUAUAUUUACUCCAUCGUUUGAGCGAUUCGAAUUUAUUUGUUAUUCUAUGUUAUUUAAUGACUCAACUAAAAGAUAACGCAUUGGUUGCGCAAUGGAAAUUUUAUUAGACUGUAUUGAACUUAAAAAUAAGACAAAGCUUCGAUACAGCAUAUGUGCUGUAGUCAUAUUUUUAUGAAGUUCAUAAAUCACUGAAACUAUUAACUAAAAUCAUAACUGGAAUAAAUAUUUUCUGUAAAUAAUAUUACUAC